GCGGGUGUGGCGGAAUUGGCAGACGCGUACGGUUCAGGUCCGUAUGGGGUUCGCCCCAUGGAGGUUCAAGUCCUCUCACCCGCACCA
rnacentral:tRNA from 1 species